GAUUGAACGCUGGCGGCGUGCCUAACACAUGCAAGUCGAGCGGUAACAGGUGUAGCAAUACAUGCUGACGAGCGGCGGACGGGUGAGUAACGCUUGGGAAUCUGCCUGUUAGUGGGGGACAACCCGGGGAAACUCGGGCUAAUACCGCAUACGCACUACGGUGGAAAGCCGGGGACCGCAAGGCCUGGCGCUAACAGAUGAGCCCAAGUCGGAUUAGCUAGUUGGUAGGGUAACGGCCACCAAGGCGACGAUCCGUAACUGGUCUGAGAGGACGACCAGUCACACCGGAACUGAGACACGGUCCGGACUCCUACGGGAGGCAGCAGUGGGGAAUAUUGGACAAUGGGCGAAAGCCUGAUCCAGCGACGCCGCGUGGGUGAAGAAGGCCUGCGGGUUGU
rnacentral:rRNA from 1 species